CACAGCUCCUACUACGACAACCACAACUACAGCUUCUAAUACGACAACCACAACUACAGCUUCUACUACGACAACCAAAGCCUCUAAUCUGACAUCAACUACACAACUAAUAACUCAACAGAUGAGCACUACACCUCAAACCGCUGUACAGUCAACAACUAAUAGUGGACCUGGAUAUAAGUUUGUACUCAGGAUGAAAUUCACCUCGACGACAAAGCUAACCGAAUCGGAGAUCUUCAAGCAGCUUCGUGAGGAACUGAUCAGACAAGGGCUGCCAGGGGACUUUACAGUGCGUUUGAAAAUCUUUCAUAGCUAGGUGUCAGGGGGAAGAGAAG